rnacentral:lncRNA from 1 species
UGAAGCCGUGCCUAAAGCAAGCGAGCCAUGGUAAUUCUUUUAUGGAAGUUCACUUGGUAAUAUUGUUGAAGCACUCUUGUAUGUAGCUCCUAGUGCCAGCCCCCACCUCCACCAUAAUAUUCAGCUCCAGGAUAUCCACCACCGUAACCACCACCGCCGCCACCGUAUCCACCGCCAUAUCCACCACCACCCCCAUAUCUGCCGCCGCCGCCGCCUCCGCCGCCACCACCACCACCGUAUCCACCACCAAAGUCAGGGUAACCAUACCCACCGCCAUACCAACCGCGCCCAGGUACAUAUCCACCGUAGCCGCCACCGUACCCUCCACCAUAUCCACCACCAUAGCCGCCACCAUAAUAAGCGUGACCCCCUUUCUCAUCCCUGAAGUCAGCCCCACCAGUAAGCUUCGUGUUCUUUCCCUCAGACUCUGCACGGAAUAGACUUUUUAGCUACAGUACAACAUCAAAGAUGGAGGCAAGAAAAAUGUUCGUUGUUUUCUAUUCAAACAUAUAUCUCUUCCCUUCUACUAAAAGUAAGAUUUCAAUUGUAGUUAAAUCCAGGUUGUUGCCGAUUUUACACGAAUGCGUUACAAAUGUCAUAACGUGCUGCAGAUCUCACAGAGAGAGAGAUACAAA